rnacentral:rRNA from 1 species
UACGUAGGGGGCAAGCGUUGUCCGGAAUCAUUGGGCGUAAAGCGCUCGCAGGCGGCUCGAUGCGUCGUGCGUGAAACACCCCGGCUCAACUGGGGAGGGUCGUGCGAUACGGUCGGGCUUGAGGCCAGUAGGGGGAUGCGGAAUUCCGGGUGUAGUGGUGGAAUGCGUAGAGAUCCGGAGGAACACCAGCGGCGAAGGCGGCAUCCUGGCGAGUGACUGACGCUGAGGUGCGAAAGCCAGGGGAGCGAACGGG